AACCCAUGAUGAGGACAAUCUCUCUGAUAUCCUUUGAACCUUUCCCACGCAGCCUUGAACGCUUUUGUUGGCCCCUGAACGAACGUGGAGAUCUUAACUCGCAGAUC
rfam:Arabis alpina cultivar Pajares scaff_51720_1_contig_5, whole genome shotgun sequence.